CAAGGAAUCUUCCGCAAUGGGCGCAAGCCUGACGGAGCAACGCCGCGUGGAGGACGACGGCCUUCGGGUUGUAAACUCCUUUUCUCAGGGAAGAAACGGACGGUACCUGGGGAAUCAGCCCCGGCUAACUCUGUGCCAGCAGCCGCGGUAAGACAGAGGGGGCAAGCGUUGUCCGGAUUUACUGGGCGUACAGCGCGCGCAGGCGGUUGCGUAUGUGACUGGUGACAGCCUCCCGCUCAACGGGAGAAGGCCCGGUUAGACAGCGCAACUGGAGGCAGGGAGAGGGAUGUGGAAUACCCGGUGGAGCGGUGAAAUGCGUAGAGAUCGGGUGGAACACCAGUGGCGAAGGCGGCAUCCUGGCCCUGACCUGACGCUGAGGCGCGAUAGCGUGGGGAGCAAACGGGAUUAGAUACCCCGGUAGUCCACGCCGUAAACGAUGUGGAGCCGGUGUCGGCGGGUGAUUGCGCCCGUCGGUGCCCCAGCUUACGCGAUGACUCCACCGCCUGGGAACUACGGCCGC
rnacentral:rRNA from 1 species